GAAAGUGUAAGUUAAUAAAACUAUUAAGCUUCAAACUUAAAUUUAUCUUUGAUCGCUAUCG
rnacentral:tRNA from 1 species